rnacentral:siRNA from 1 species
UCUUCUGUACCUGGUGCUUGC